CCUACGGGAGGCAGCAGUAGGGAAUUUUCGGCAAUGGGGGGAACCCUGACCGAGCAACGCCGCGUGAAGGAAGAAGGAAUUCGUUCUGUAAACUUCUGUUAUAAAGGAAGAAAGACGGAUGGAGGAAAUGAGAUCCGAGUGACGGUACUUUAAGAGAAAGCCACGGCUAACUACGUGCCAGCAGCCGCGGUAAUACGUAGGUGGCAAGCGUUAUCCUGAAAUAUGGGGCGGAAAGAGGGAGCAGGUGGUAGCAAAGGUCUGUGGUGAAAGACUGAAGCUUACCUUCAGUAAGCCAUAGAAACCGGGCAGCUAGAGUGCAGACGAGGAUCGUGGAAUUCGAUGUGUAGCGGUGAAAUGCGUAGAUAUAUGGAGGAACACCAGUGGCGAAGGCGACGAUCUGGCCUGCAACUGACGCUCAGUCCCGAAAGCGUGGGGAGCAAAUAGGAUUAGAUACCCUUGUAGUC
rnacentral:rRNA from 1 species